UAAAGGGUCAAGGCCUUCACACCAUUCUUUAGUCUCAACACUGUUGGCACCUAGAUGCACUUCUGAGGGAGAUUGGAAUCAAAUCUGUCACUGAACGUGGAAUGUUAGUGAUUAUCUAGUAAGCCAAGUAGACAUCCAUGAGACUGGACAGAGUAGGUGACCUGUAUAUACAGAAUAAAGACUGGACAGAGUAGGUGACCUGUAUAUACAGAAUAAAGACUGGACAGAGUAGGUGACCUGUAUAUACAGAAUAAAGACUGGACAGAGUAGAUCCACUGUGUAUAUACAGAAUAAAGACUGGACAGAGUAGGUGACCUGUAUAUACAGAAUAAAGACUGGACAGAGUAGGUGACCUGUAUAUACAGAAUAAAGGCUGGCAGAGUAGAUCCACUGUGUAUAUACAGAAUAAAGACUGGACAGAGUAGGUGACCUGUAUAUACAGAAUAAAGACUGGACAGAGUAGGUGACCUGUAUAUACAGAAUAAAGACUGGACAGAGUAGAUGACCUGUAUAUAUAGAAUAAAGACUGGACAGAGUAGAUGACCUGUAUAUACAGAAUAAAGACUGGACAGAGUAGGUGACCUGUAUAUACAGAGUAAAGACUGGACAGAGUAGGUGACCUGUAUAUAUAGAAUAAAGACUGGACAGAGUAGAUUACCUGUAUAUACAGAAUAAAGACUGGACAGAGUAGGUGACCUGUAUAUACAGAAUAAAGACUGGACAGAGUAGGUGACCUGUAUAUAUAGAAUAAAGACUGGACAGAGUAGAUUACCUGUAUAUACAGAAUAAAGACUGGACAGAGUAGGUGACCUGUAUAUACAGAAUAAAGACUGGACAGAGUAGGUGACCUGUAUAUAUAGAAUAAAGACUGGACAGAGUAGAUGACCUGUAUAUACAGAAUAAAGACUGGACAGAGUAGGUGACCUGUAUAUACAGAAUAAAGACUGGACAGAGUAGGUGACCUGUAUAUACAGAAUAAAGACUGGACAGAGUAGGUGACCUGUAUAUACAGAAUAAAGACUGGACAGAGUAGGUGACCUGUAUAUACAGAAUAAAGACUGGACAGAGUAGGUGACCUGUAUAUACAGAAUAAAGACUGGACAGAGUAGGUGAACUGUGUAUAUACAGAAUA